UGGGUAAUAUUGGACAAUGGGGGCAACCCUGAUCCAGCAAUGCCGCGUGUGUGAAGAAGCCCUUCGGGUUGUAAAGCACUUUUAUCGGGAAAGAAACACUCAGGACUAAUACCUUUGCGGACUGACGGUACCCGAUGAAUAAGCACCGGCUAACUCCGUG
rnacentral:rRNA from 1 species